rnacentral:lncRNA from 1 species
GUCGGCGGCCAGGCGGCCAGUAUGUUCACUCCCGGGGCUGUCACAUCGGGCUUGAUCACAUAAGGUUCUAAAAGUGCAGGGCCUCUUGAGGAGAAUGAUGCCAUCACUGGUGCUGGCUUGCCAAACACUGUCCCAUUGAAAACAAUGGAAGCAGUGGGAUUCCCCGAGCUGAUGUAGUUUCUUAUGGAUUUAGAUGCAGAGGCCCCCAGAGAACUGGCUGGCAAAACAUGUGGAUCAACCCGAAUUUCCUCACCCUGAGAUGCAGUGUUCAGUAGUAGCAUUCCAGCUCCACCUGCCUUUUCCACUUCUUGUCCCUUUUCCACCCCUCUGUUGAUGCCUCGCUCACAUACAACAAUCUUCCCUUUAACCAGAGCUGAAGAGAGUGUGCCACUACUGCAGUACUUGGCUCUUGCGCCGCCUGCAGAUUCACCAUAAACAAGCGAUAGUUGCUCAGUUGACGUUCCGGAAUAUAAUGAUUCCCCAUCAAAAGUUUCUCCGUUACCAAGAUUAACUAUGGCAGGGAAGCUUCUAUCCAUGGUGCUUGCAGCAACGGUCAUCAUCCAUGGUGCUGCAUUGACGACAGUUGAACUAGAUGGGCCUGAAUUUCCAGCAGCGGCAGCAACGAAAACUCCAUGUUGGACUGCCCCCAAGGAGGCAAUAGCCAAGACAUCAGCAUAGUAAGGCUGUGAGGAUCCUCCAAUGGAGAGUGACAAGAUAUCAACCCCAUCGGAAACAGCCUGGUCUAUUGCUGCUAAUAUAUCGGAGGAAGCACAACCACGAGCAUAGCAAGCUUUGUAUGCAGCGAUUCUUCCUGUACAGCUCAUUCCAGCGGCGACGCCCUUGGCCAUACCGAAAAUGCUAGCUCCAUCUAUCAUAUGGCCUGCUGCAGUUGAUGCAGUGUGAGUUCCAUGGCCAUGGGAGUCCCUAGCAGAUCGGAAGUCCACCGUUUCAUCUAUUUUCCCAGCUGCGGCCUCGUAGCCCUUGUAGUAGGCUCUUGCGCCUAUAAGCUUCCUGUUGCAAUUUUUAGCUGUGAAUCUUGUGCCUUCCUCGCAAACACCCUUCCAUCGAGAGGGCACCGGCCGUUUCAUGCCCGCAUCCUUGAAACUUGCGUGUUCAGGCCAGAUUCCAGAAUCGACAAAGCCGAUUAUCACAUCGUUCGCCAAGUUGCGUGAAGUCAAUAGUCCUUUUCCGAAUUGCAGGCCAAGAAACUGAGGUGAGUAGGUGGUUUGGAGACUCAGCAUUUCAUCAGGAACAGCUGACAGAAACCCCUCAACUUUGUUCAAGGUUUCCAACUGCCUAUUGGAAAGCCUUGCAGCGAAGCCAGUGAUUGCAGUUUCAUAGGUGUAAAGGAGCUCAGGGGCUGAUGCUUCUUCUACUCCAUCUUCUUCAGCUGACAAUUCUGUGAUGGAAUCCAUCACUACUUCAUACCAUUUCUUGGAAUCCCCAAGAAUAUUGUCUAAAGCUGUGGUCUUGGCCUUGUCCAUGUGAACUACAUAAAUCUCUUUGUCUUCUGAAGCAAUUGAAAUAGCAGCGGCCAUGAAAACCACCAGCAACAAUGACAAUCUGUACACCAUGAUGAUGCCUGUAUGAAAAAAAGAAAAUUUUGAUAUGAAUCCAAACAUAUAAUUUGACUGCUCAGUAAUGAAUUGUGCAGCAGACUCUCAAUCUUCAUGGGGUACUGCCAUAAAACAGUUCAUGGAUGAACAGACGAAGUAAUAACAGAUAGGGAAACUCCAACUCAAAACCUGAGAAAGCUGGAGCUCCUAUGCCAGCUCAAACUACAAGUAUUUACCACGAGUUACCCCAAAAGCUUAAAUUAUAAGAUGGGAUUAAUGAAGGAUGUAAAAUCAAAUUAAAAUUGCUAGUAGAAGUACAAACACUAGCUUUUUUUUUUUUUCUAGUGAAACUAGCAACAAGCCCACACUACUGUGCUUCUUGUGAGAGAAUUUGAACGAUGCACAAAAUAUCAGUUAGAAAAGUGAUGAGAAUUUAGAAGCCAUGAUAUCUAGAAGCUUCUUCCAAACAGUUAAACAGUCAAGCGGGCCAAGGUUUGGUUUGGUCUGAUCUCUGGCUGCCAUAGGCUUUGCCCAAUAAUUCCAAAGCUCAUUUGGAGAUCAAACCAAAGCAACCAAGGUCCAUCUUUAUGAAUAGACUGCUAGGUCAGGACCAAUGCAUGAAGAAAUAAGACCAAGAGGACAACAACAAAUGGAUCUAGGAGGUCAUCAUCGGGUACCCAUGAAGAAAUAAGACUAAGAGUGAGAGAGAGAGCCCCUCUUAUAUACCUACUUCUUUUUCUUCUCGAUCCAAAAGAGUGAGGAAUAACUAAUGCUGAGGAGAGUCUUAUAUAGCCAAAGAAAGAGACUGUCACACAACUGAACAAAACAAGAGCCCACUGUGCUCCCCUUCCACUUUCUUUCCUUUUCUAUUUUAAAAUUGGCAUGCCUUAGAAAUAAAGCUUCCUAUCCACUUUGAGAAUGAGAGACAAAUUUUAUUGUUGAGUGGAGAAUGUUUACAUGUUGAUGGUGGUGACAGUUGAUGACUUUAAUUUCCAAGUUUGCGGCUUCAAGGGCCACAAUUUUUAUAUUAUGUAUGGCACAAUGUCAUUGUAGCAUGGAAGGAAGAGAGUGUUUUGCGGAGAAAAUGCUUUGGAUAUCAUUGAUAUUACGGUUUCUUUGAGCAUUUUUAGAAAAUGUUUUUAGCAUAAAAAAAAAUAUUUUUGAAAAAAAAUAAAAGUUAUAAGAGAUUUAACAAAAUUUAAGAAACAUCUAAACAGUUCAAAAAUCACUUGUAGCUUUUCCAUUCAUCUUAAAAACGGUUUUAAAGAAAACACUUUUGAUGAUAUCAAAAUAAGACACCCCUAGGAGAAGAUACUUCAUCUUGGUAUUACAUCAAGAAAGGGGAGAAACUUACCAAAUACCUCCCACUAAGAGGUGCCCCCUCUAGCCCAUCACCUUCAAGUCAAGCCAAUCCUACGACCUGACUAUUGUUAAGGUCAUCCUGACUAUUGUUGUGUCAACAAAAGUUUUAAUACAAACAAUGUUAGUUUCAAAACAUGAAGGCAAAAUAAUCCACAUAAAAAUACAAAAAGUUUUAAUGUGGUUUUGCCAACCUUAUCUCUAUCCAUAUAUGAUAAGAAAUUAUUCCACUAUAGUAUAAAGAAUAUUAUAGAUGACAAAAACUAGAUAUAACUAUUGGGUUGUUAAAACAUCUUGAGAAAAUAAAAGUUAUGCUUAAAGGAGAAAAACACCCAAGAAAGGGGGGGGAGGGGGUGAAUUGGGUUUUUCAAUACAACAAAUUCAAGCACAAUAUAAACAAGAAAUAAAGAGAUAGAGUUAGAGAAUUCAAACUCGAAUUUUAUAGUGGUUCGACACUUCCUUGUCUACGUCCACUCUCUUAAAUCUCCUAACCGAGUGAGGGUUCCACUAGCUUGAAGCUUCAACCAAGCUUCCAAUCCUUUACACUUGGAUUUCGGCUCUAAUGAGCUCUUACGCAAUCCCUUCAAGAUUUAAACCUCUUGAAGUCUUUAACACUCAAGUUUUACAAGAAAGAAACUAUCAACCUAGCUCAAAUACAAAACAAAGUUAGGAUGACUCACAAAGGUGCACUAAAAGAUAUGCAAGUGAUGGUUUUAAUGCACUAAGAAAGAAAUGAGAGCUUUUAAGCCAAGAACAGGUAGGUAGACAAUUCAUUGCAGGUGUUCUCUAUGUCAUAAAUGAAGUGGAGUUCUCAAUUUAUAGGUUUCUAAGCUCGAGAGUCAAAAAUAGCAAAAGGCAACCUCGAACGGUCGAGCUGGGGGUCAACUGGUUCACUAGCCGUUGGAGCAUUUAAUGAUUUGGCAGGUUACCGUUGUCUUGAUCGGAGGUCUACCGGGAAGGGGUGAACCUCAAUUGGGAAAAGGAAGCUACUGGAUAAGAGAGAAUGUUUUUGGCACUCCUCGAUUGGACCUCGAUCGGGCAAGGGCAACCGGUUGAUCGGUUCCCCAACCGGUUGAGCCAGUUGGCUAGAGCCUCAAUCAGUUCAACCUUUUGGCCUCGAAAACCUAUCCUUUUCAAUUCCAUUCUUUUUUAACACUUAUGCAAGGUCUUUAGGUAAAAUAAUAUGUCAAUUUUGAAACGUUUUGCCUAAGGUACAUUUGAUAAAACUCGGGUUUUAAUGAAAUCGAAAAUUUAAAUAAUAAACCGAGUUUUCAAAAAUGUAUGAAAAGGUAUGAAAAACCUAAGUGCACCCAUGUAUUUAUCUUACAUUCGUUUCCUAUUAUCAAAAGUCUUCCAAUUGUCUCAAUCUUGUAUCCCUUUGGUUCUUCGAUGAAUUUCUGAAUUUAUACCUGAAAUUCUUAUCAUUCAAACCAAUUAGUCACUUAACCAUGGUUUAUUAUCAUCAAAAUCCGAUUGGGAGAACCCUUGGGCUAACACAUCUCAUAUUUCCCUACUCCUAAUAUCCAUAUCUUAAACCACCAAUCUCUUGUUUUAUCGAGCAUCAUUCAUUCUUCCUCACAUCUCUAUCCACCAUGCAUAAUCUUUACAAACACAUCUCUAUCUUAUAACAUUUUUCCCUUAAGACAUAAAAUAUUUAUAAAAAUAUUCCUAAUAACUUUUCUUCUUUUAUAAAAAAAAAAAUUAAUAUUACAAUCACAUGAAUACAAAAAAAAUAUUCUUUAUAAGAAAAAAUCUAUACUAUUUAGGAAUUUGAGACACUUUUCAACAAAUACUUUUAAUAAAAGUACUUUCAAAUACACUCUUAAUAAUCCUAUUAUUUAUGAGUUCUAUUGUCAUAUUCAUAUUUCUUGAUGAAUAUUUUGUAAUGUUAUUUUUCUUAAAACAAUUCAAUUAGAAAGAAAUAUAAAUUUUUUUUCUAAAAUUGCUUCUCUCAACAAAACGUUAGAGAAUUUUAUUUUAUUUUUAUUUAAGUUGAUUGAAUAAAAUAGUUGUAAGUAAAAUACUUUUAAAAAAAUUUAAAAAUCAUUUAUAUUGCUUGUUGAAGAUGUCUUUUUAAAAAAAAUAUGUAUUUCAAUUAAAAACACUCCCAAUAAAAAUACAGGUUAAUUUCAUUCAUAUCCUUUUAAGGUUUUGACUAAUACAUUUAACUUUCAUAGGUCUAAGAUUUCAUCAUUCUCUUCCCUUACUUUGAAUGAGAGAAGAAAUAAGUGAAAAUAAGAAAUGAAAAAGAUAAAUGCAAUAUUUGAUGAAAUUUCAGAUCUAUAAAGAAUAAAUGUAUUUAAUCGAAAUCCGAGAGAGGUAAAUGAAAUUAACCUUAAAAAUACUUAAAUGCACUCUUAAUCAUUAUGUUGUUUGUGAGCUUAGAAAACACCAAAGAAAGCCUUUUUUCCUCAAGUCAAUCGAUAGCAAUAGCAUAUAUAUAUAUAUAUAUGACUGGGAUCUCAUGUGGGACUUUCUCUCUCAGCAAAUGAGAAGGCAAGAAAUGAAAAGGCAAGAAGACCCAUUACUUCUUCCAGAUUCACCUUUGCUUAGUGGGAACUUGUUAGUGGUUAAUUACAAGGAUAAAAAAUUCCCCAUGGUAGCCAUUAGAAGAUUCAUAUGAUUUCCCACUUUUGUAGUGUUAAAGCCCAGUGAGUUUUUUCUUAGUCACCAAACACUAACCAAUUGGAUCGCCAGGCGGUCACCAAUCCCAUUUUUUCCGUACUAAGUCUCAUCCUGUAUGAUUUAUCUUCACAAAAAUGCUAAUGAAUUCAAAAGCUUGAAUCAUUUUUCCCUUGAGAAAUAAAGUAUUUGAUGAAAAAUAUAAAUAAAGUAUUUGAUGAAAUUUCAGAUCUAUAGAGAAUAAAUGUAUUUAAUCGAAAUCCGAGAAAGGUAAAUGAAAUUAACCUUAAAAAUACUCAAAUGCACUCUUAAUCGUUAUGUUGUUUGUGAGCUUAGAAAACACUAAAGAAAGCCUUUUUUCCUCAAGUCAAUCGAUAGCAAUAGCAUUUUGAUGAUAACAAACCUUGAUUAUCUAGGAGAAAAAGAAAUCUCCCCCUCAAACCAAUCAUGGAUCAAUUGAUUCAAAAUUUAUGAAUUUAAAACCAAGAUAAUCAGAACAUACUAAUUUUCAAUAGAAAACAAUGUAAAUCAUGAAAGUAGCAUAUCAUAUAUAGUAAAGUCAAAUGUACACGAAACAUCCAAACAGAUGAUAUGAUAAUGAUAUGCAUACAUAGGUCUCCUUGAUCCUAAAUAUCUCUCACCCUUUGGCAACAUAAAAAAAAUGACAAAAAGGGGGUCUCGAUGAAAUCAAGGUUGAGGAGGUGGAGAUGGAAACAAUGAGCAUUGGUAAACCAUCAUCUCCUCAUGCUGACUUUCCUGACGACUCUCAAUGCACUCAAUCCUAUGUUGAAAAUGCUCAAAUGUAGUCUGCUGUUGAUCCAUAUAAUCCUCUAUACGCUCAAAUCUCUGUUGCAGAUGCUCAAACUAAGAGGUGAAGCUAGUCUGAUACUAAUCAAUGCAAUCCUUCAUAGAAUAGAAUCGAGUAUCACUGACUAUUGCGAGCUCCUCCAUGCGAGUCCCAAGUGAGUUGAUCUGAGCUGAUAAAUCCAUCCAAUGUGCAUGAUUAGGAGCAUGAGGUGCCUGAUGAGGUGAUAACUCGGUGUGAGGAGGCUCAAUGAAUGAUGGCUGAGAAGAUGGUCUCGUUGUGUAAGCCGGCUCAGACAUCAUCGACUCAGGAAAUAGUGCCUCAAACUAAACACCCUCAUACUGGAGUGAAGGGAUGUCAAGCUCGAGCUCUCUCUACUCAAAGCCUCUUAGAAGGUCUAACCCACCCUCCAUCUCUCAGAUCUCGGCCUCAUCUUCUACUCCGGGAUGUACUUGCCCCUGUCCUUUGGCCUGUGCUGGUGGUCGCUCAACUCUCCCAAUCCAGGAGCCAUCGGGGGCCUUAUCAAACUUCAUCUGCCCCAAGGACUGCUCAUCGUAUGUAUCAUAAAUGCCAGGGCCCUCGAAGUCUGUCUCUCUGCUCAAAUCAACCCCGACAUCCUUGAAUACUCUAGUAAGGAAGCGGCCGUAGGGGAGUACUCGGGUUGUGCUCUCGCAACAUGAUAUCAUGUGCAUCAUCAUCAGAUACCCCACAUGAAUUCGUCUCCUCGUCAGAAUCGAGUCUAUGAGGAAUGGCUCAAGGUGAGAGAUCUCAUCUUGGUGUCCGCUUCGUGGCAAUAAGAUGGAGCAGAUCAUGUGAUGAAAGACUCGGUUGAUCACGGUCAGGCUAUGUGCUAAUGGUUUGCCCAUCCCUUGGGCAUCUGCAAGGCCACACAUCCUUUGAAUAACCUCUCUAGGCUUGAAACCCAGCGCAAUGGGCCAAGCCUUAGACUCACACACCCUGAGUCCAAUCGAAGAAAUGUUGAAAAUAUGGCAAAUGCUCUCCGAGUCCAACUGGAUCUCAACACCUAUAACGAUGGAAAUGAUCGGUCCUCCAAGUCCAUAGGUCACUCGUGAAUAGAAUGCACUCACCAGAGUCGGGAAAAUCGGCUCGAAAAUAGUCAUUACUGGCAACCAUCCCAUCCGUCCAAAAAGUCCCUUAAACCCGAAAUACUGAAGUUAGGAGAAAUCGACACUUCUCCUUGAAACUACUUUCCUCUGAGCAAACUUCUGCUUGUACCUCUGAUAAUCCUCUACGAAACUAAAGAGGGUCGUGUCAUACCUCGCCUUUUGGCGAGUCUCCGUUUGAGCAGGCUAAGAUGGCUUAACGAGCGCUUGCUCUGAGCCCUAGAGGCUGUCGUCUCUCUUCUAGGAGCCAUAAAAAGAACAAAAAAGAAUGAGAUGAGACUGGUAGAGAAGGAACCAACCACAACGAAGAGAAAACAAACCCGAACAAAAGCCCUAGGCACGCGGGAACAGAGCUAAAACGGGCUAUGAUGUGCGUUGAAUGAGGAGUCGUCUCAAAAUGAAGCCCUAGGUCCCAAAAAUCAAACCGAAACUCCUUGAAAAUGCUGCAAUGCAGUCAAAAAUCUCUUCUAGGGCAACUGAAACGGCACAACCCUUGAAGAACCAGAGAAAAUAGGUGAAAAAUGAGGCGUGGGAGGGGUAUUUAAAACGAUACCCCGACGAACUGGUUGAUCGGUCUUGAUCCGAUCGACCGUCUGGUCAACAGUCAAUGUAGUCAACGCUUCAAUUUUUGUGCAUUUUCUCGUCUCGUGAUCCUUCCCCUGCCCUUUUUAGUUGAAAUCCCCAAUUUUUUAUGUCCAAUACCAAGGGAAUUUUGAUUUUUGGUCAAAAUUUAACCAUUUUCCUAAGUAUAUGUCUAUAUGAUGCAUAUGAUAUGAAAUUCAUACAAUCAUAAGGUAUAUUAAUCAAGAAUUCAUCAAGCAAUCAUUUGAUCAUAAAGAAAUCACCCUUAGUUGUCUUCUAAUAUCAACAAAUUGUUCUUCACUUAGAGGUUUCGUAAAUAUAUCGGCAAAUUGAUAUUUUGUGCUUACAAAUUCAAGUGUAAUGUCACUCUUUUGUGCAUGGUCUCUAAGAAAAUGAUCUCUAAUUUCUAUAUGCUUAGUCCUAGAGUGUUGCACAGGAUUUUUUGAAAUAUUUAUGACACUUGUGUUAUCACAUUUAAUAGGAACAUGCUCAAAAGACAAAUUGAAAUCACUAAGUGUUUGUUUCAUCCAAAGAAUUUGUGCACAACAUAAACCAACUGUUGUGUAUUCGGCUUCUGCCAUUGACAAAGCUACUGAAUUUUGUUUCUUACUAUGCCAUGAAACAAGUGAGUGUCCUAGGAAAUGACAAAUGCUACUAGUGUUUUUUCUUUCAACUUUACAAGCGAUAAAAUCAACAUCCGAGAAUCCAAUUAAUUCAAAGUUAUCAUCCUUAGGAUACCAUAAGCCUAUGUCCAUUGUCUCUUUCAAAUAUCUAAGGAUUCGUUUUAUGGCACUUAAGUGAAAUUCUUUAGGACAAGAUUGAAAUCUAGCACACAAGCAUACACUAUACAUGAUGUCAGGUCUACUAGCGGUCAAAUAUAGCAAAGAACCUAUUAUGCCUCUAUACAUAGUUGAGUAAAUGAAAUUACUUUUCUCAUCCUGAUCAAGCUUGAUGGAUGAACUCAUUGGAGUCUUCAUUGUUUUGGUUUCUUCCAUGUUGAACCUUUUGAGAAGAUCUCUUAUAUAUUUUGCUUGAUUGAUGAAGGUUCCUUCUUUUAGUUGUUUGAUUUGAAGUCCAAGGAAGAAGUUGAGUUCUCCCAUCAUGCUCAUUUCAAACUCACUAUGCAUGCACUUAGAAAAUUCUUCACAAAGAGAGACAUUAGUAGCUCCAAAAAUAGCAUCAUCAACAUAUAUUUAAACUAAGAGCAUGUCAUUUUCUUUGGUCUUUAUGAAAAGAGUUGUGUCAAUUUUUCCCAUUUUAAAAGCCCUUUUCAAAAGAAAUUUACUCAAUCUUUCAUACCAUGCUCUAGGUGCUUGUUUCAAACCAUAAAAUGUCUUUUUAAGUUUAAAAACAUGGUUAGGAAAAUUAAAACUUUGAAAAUCGAGUGGUUGUUCAACAUAUACUUCUUCAUUUAUAAAGUCAUUUAAGAAAGCAUUUUUCACAUCCAUUUGAUAUAAAACAAAGUUUUUAAAACAUACAAAGGCAAGUAGCAUCCUAAUGGCUUCCAAUCUAGCUACAAGGGCAAAAGUUUCUUCAUAAUAUAUCCCUUCUUCUUGAUUAAAACCUUGGGCUACCAAUCUUGCUUUAUUUCUAACAAUUAUGCAAUUUUCAUCCAUUUUAUUUAUAAAGACCCAUCUAGUUCCAAUAACACUUUGAUUUGAAGGUCUUGACACUAAUUCCCAUACUUCACUUCUUUCAAAUUGAUUUAACUCUUCUUGCAUAGCAAUCAUCCAAUUUUCAUCAACUAGAACAUCAUUUAUAUUUUUAGGUUCAAUUUGAGAGAUAAAAGCAAAAUUAUUGCAAAUAUUUUUAAGAGAUGAUCUAGUUCUUACCUCACUAGAUGGAUUACCUAUAAUUUGAUCUUGUGGGUGGUUGAUGACAAAUUUCCAAUCUUUAGGAAGGUCUUGGCUUGAUUCACCUUGCACUUGUUGAGAAGGGGGUAGUGCCAAUGAUGAUUCUUCUUUCUUAGGAUCCUCUCCAAUUUCUUCUUAUUGUUUUCUAUUUUCAAUUUGUAAUUUUCCCAUGGAGGUCUUCAAGCCUAAAUCAUCAUCAAAACUCUUUCUUUGUUGGAGAGAAUUGUUAGAUUAAUAAAAAAUAACAUGGAUGGACUCCUUUACAACCAUGGUUCUUUUGUUAAAAACUCUAAAGGCUUUACUUAAAGUUGAGUAACCAAGAAAAAUUCCAACAUCUGAUUUUGCAUCAAAUUUUCCAAGAUUGUCUUUGGUAUUUAAUAUAAAACAUUUGCACCUAAAGACUUUGAAAUAACUAAUGUUGGGUUUCUUGUUUUUCCAAAGCUCAUAGGGAGUUUUCUUAAGAAUAGGUCUCAAUAAUAUUCUAUUUAAAACGUAACAAGAAAUGCUAAUUGCUUCGGCCCAAAAAUAUUUUGGUAAAUUGUUAUCAUUUAGCAUGGUUCUAGCCAUUUCUUGAAGAGUUCUAUUUUUCCUUUCAACUAACCCAUUUUGUUGAGGAGUUCCAAGAGCCGGAAAAUUGUGGUUAAUACCUUGUAAGUAAUUCUUUCCCAUGAUCACUUCUUAUGUAAGUAAUUGUAAAACCUUUUUGAUUUUGAACCUUAUUGCAAAACUUUGAAAACUCAUAAAAUGUUUCAUUCUUUUGACUUAAAAACAAGACCCAAGUGUAUCUAGAGAAGUCAUCCACAAUAACAUAUGCGUAAGAUUUUCCUCCAAGGCUUGGUGUCCUAGAGGGACCAAAUAAGUCCAUAUGCAACAACUCAAGAGGCCUAGUUGUUGAAAUGGAAAUUUUGUUUUUAAAAGAGUUUUUGAUUUGUUUUCCCAUUUGACAAGCUUCACAAACUUUGUCUUUUUGAAAAUUUAUUUUGAGAAGGCCUCUAACAAGUUCAUCUUUUUUGAGUUGGGAAAUGAGGUGCAUGUUAGCAUGUCCCAACCUCCUAUGCCACAACCAACUUUGAUCAUGCAUGCUUGAAAGUAUCUAUCAUGACCAUCAUAUUUUGAAAUAUUUAUAGCAUAAACAUUAUCACAUCUAUGACCCAUGAAGAUGGUUUUAUCAUUUUGAAUAUCUUUGAUGAUGCAAUGAAAUACUUUAAAAAUCACUUUAAAACCUUUGUCACAAAGUUGACUAAUACUUAAAAGAUUAUGUUUUAAACCAUCCACUAAUAAAACGCUUUCAAUAAGAAAUGAUGUGUCAUUACCAAUGUUGCCUUGACCAAUGAUCCUUCCUUUUGCAUUGUCUUCAAAGGUAAACGUAUCCUCUCUUUCUCUUUGUAAGGAAAGCAAACUUGGAUUCAUCCCCGGUCAUGUGUCUUGAGCAUCCACUAUUCAAGAACCACUUAUCCUUGUUUGAACCCUCAUCAAGUUCAUCUAUUGUCAUGAAGCACAUGUUUGCCACUUCUUUCUCCUUUUCUUCUUCAGAUGAUUUUUCACUUUCACUCCAAGUGGCCAUCAUUGCCUUUUUCAUUAUUCUCUUGGCUUCACUUUUGUAAAGAGGACAAUCAUAUUUGAUGUGUCCCGAAUUUUUGCAUUUGAAGCACACAAAAUCUCUUUUCUCUUCUCAUUUCUCCUUGUCACCAUGAGAUGAGGAUUCCUUUUUAGAAAGGUCUCUUCUAGAGGUGAACUUUUUUCCUCUAAAUCUUUCACUUCUCAUGUAUUUGUUAAGCUUUCUUGUGAUGAGGGCUAAAUCAUCAUCUUUCUCACUUGGUUUUUCUUCUUCAACAUCUUUUUCUUCAUUGGUUGUAGCUUUGAGAGCUAUGCUCUUCUUCUUUUUGUCUUCACCCCCUUGUAGCUUUUUUGCCAAGUUAAUCUCAUAUGUCAUCAAUGACCUUAUGAGCUCUUCCAUAGGUAGCUUGGUCAAGUCUUUUGCUUCUUGAAUUGAGGUGACCUUAGUAUGCCACUUUGAUGGGAGUGACCUCAAUAUCUUCAUCACUUUCUCGGAUUCCUUGUAGGUUUUUCCCAAAGCUUCAAGACCAUUGACAAUGUUAGUGAACCUAGUGAUCAUCUCAACAAUAGUCUCAUUUUCUUUCAUUGACAACAAUUCAUAGUUAUGAACAAGUAAAUUAAUUUUUGACUCUUUCACUUGAUUUAUUCCUUCAUGAGUUAUCUCAAGUAAUCUCCAAAUUUCUUUAGUCGAUUUGCAUUGACAUAUUCUAUUAUAUUCAUUUCUAUCUAUAGCACAUUGCAAAGUAAAAACAACCUUAGCAUUUAAUUGAAAAUUUCUUCUAUCAAGCUCAUUCCAUUCUUGCUUGGGUUUUGGAACCAAGACUUCAUCAAUUAGUUUAGUAGGAAAAGUUGGGUCAUCUUCAAUGAUGUCUCAUAUGUCUAAAUCGGUUGAUUGUAAAUACCAAGUUAUUCUAGUUUUCCAAUAGGGAUAGUCGUUUCCCGUAAAAAAAAUGGAGUUCUAUGUUUUGUAAAAUUUUCAAUUUGAGAUGAGCUUGAUAGAAUGACCAUUUCCUCUUAGAUGAUUAAGUCUUAAACAAGAGGUCUAACUCUGAUACCAAUUGAGAAAAUAAAAGUUAUGCUUAAAGGAGAAAAACACCUAAGAGAGGGGAGGGGAGGGGGGAGGAGGGUGAAUUGGGUUUUUCAAAAACUUUUUCAAUACAGCAAAUUCAAGCACAAUAUAAACAAGAAAUAAAGAGAUAGAGUUAGAGAAUUCAAACUCGAAUUUUAUAGUGGUUCGACACUUCCUUGCCUAUAACCACUCUCCUCAAUCUCCUAACCGAGUGAAGGUUCCACUAGCUUGAAGCUUCAACCAAGCUUCCAAUCCUUUACACUUGGAUUCCGGCUCCAAUGGGCUCUUACACAAUCCCUUCAAGAUUCAAACCUCUUGAAGUCUUUAACACUCAAGUUUUACAAGAAAGAAACCCUCAACCUAGCUCAAAUACAAAACAAAGUUAGGAUGACUCACAAAGGUGCACUAAAAGAUAUGCAAGUGAUGGUUUUAAUGCACUAAGAAAGAAAUGAGAACUUUUAAGCCAAGAACAUGUAGGUAGACAAUUGAUUGCAGGUGUUCUCUAUGUCGUAAAUGAAGUGGAGUUCUCAAUUUAUAGGUUUCUAACCUCGACCAGUUGAGCUGGAGGUUGACUGGUUCACUAGCCAUUGGAGCAUUUAAUGCUUUAGCAGGUUACCAUUGCCUCGACCGAAGGUCGAACGAGAAGGGGUGAACCUCAACCGGGAAGAGGAAACUACUGGAUGAGAGAGAGUGUUUUUGGCACUCCUUGACUAGACCUCGACCAGACAAGGGCAACCGGUCAACUAGUUCCCCAACCGGUUGAGCCGGUUGGCCAAAGCCUCGACUAGUUCAGCCUUUUGACCCUGAAAACCUAUCAUUUUCAAUUCCUUUCUUUUUUAACACUUAUGCAAGGUCUUUAGGUAAAAUAAUAUAUCAAUUUUGAAACGUUUUGCCUAAGGUACAUUUGAUAAAACUCGGGUUUUAAUGAAAUCAAAAUUUUAAAUAAUAAACCGAGUUUUCAAAGAUGUAUGAAAAGGUAUGAAAAACCUAAGUGCACCCAUGCAGUGCACCCAUGCAUUCAUCUUACAUUCGUUUUCUAUUAUCAAAAAUCUUUCAAUUGUCUCAAUCUUGUAUCUCUUUAGUCCUUUGAUGAAUUUUUGAAUUUUAUACCUAAAAUUCUUUAUCAUUCAAACCAAUUAGUCACUUAACCAUGAUUUAUUAUCAUUAAAAUCCGAUUGGGAGAACCUUUGGGCUAACACAUCUCAUAUUUCCUUAUUCCUAAUAUCCAUAUCUUAAACCACCAAUCUCUUGUUUUAUCGAGCAUCGUUCAUUCUUUCUCACAUCUCUAUCCACCAUGCAUAAUCUUUACAAACACAUCUCUAUCUCAUAACAUUUUUCCCUUAAGAGUUAAAAUAUUUAUAAAAAUAUUCCUAAUAACUUUUCUUAUUUUAUAAAAAAAAAAUUAAUAUUACAAUCACAUGAAUACAAAAAAAAUAUUCUUUAUAAGAAAAAAUCUAUACUAUUUAGGAAUUUGAGACACUUUUCAACAAAUACUUUUAAUAAAAAUACUUUCAAAUACACUCUUAAUAAUCCUAUUAUUUGAGUUCUAUUGUCAUAUUCAUAUUUCUUUAUGAAUAUUUUGUAAUGUUAUUUUUCUUAAAACAAUUCAAUUAGAAAGAAAUAGAAUUUUUUUCUAAAAUUGCUUCUCUCAACAAAACAUUAGAGAAUUUUAUUUUAUUUUUAUUUAAGUUGAUUGAAUAAAAUAGUUGUAUGUAAAAUACUUUUAAAAAUCAUUUAUAUUGCUUAUUGAAGAUGUCUUUUUUAAAAAAAAUAUGUAUUUCAAUUAAAAACACUCCCAAUAAAAAUACAGGUUAAUUUCAUUCACAUCCUUUUAAGGUUUUGACUAAUACAUUUAACUUUCAUAGGUCUGAGAUUUCAUUAUUCUCUUCCCUUAUUUUGAAUGAGAGAAGAAAUAAGUGAAAAUAAGAAAUGAAAAAGAUAAAUGCAAUAUUUGAUGAAAUUUCAGAUCUAUAAAAAAUAAAUGUAUUUAAUCGAAAUCCGAGAGAAGUAAAUGAAAUUAACCUUAAAAAUACUUAAAUGCACUCUUAAUCAUUAUGUUGUUUGUGAGCUUAGAAAACACUAAAGAAAGCCUUUUUUCCUCAAGUCAAUCGAUAGCGAUAGCAUAUAUAUAUAUAUGACUGGGAUCCCAUGUGGGACUUCUUCUCUCAGCAAAUGAGAAGGCAAGAGACCCAUUACUUCUUCCAGAUUCACCUUUGCUUAGUGGGAACUUGUUAGUGGUUAAUUAUAAGGAUAAAAAAUUCCCCAUGGUAGCCAUUAGAAGAUUCAUAUGAUUUCCCACUUUUGUAGUGCUAAAGCCCAGUGAGUUUUUUCUUGGUCACCAAACACUAACCAAUUGGAUAGCCAGACGGUCACCAAUCCCAUUUUUUCCGUACCGAGUCUCAUUCUGUAUGAUUUAUCUUCACAAAAAUGGUAAUGAAUUAAAAAACUUGAAUCAUUUUUCCCCUGAGAAAUGGCAGCCAGUAGAAAAGAGGAGUCACAUCCAUGCCUUGUGAGUUUUUUCUUGGUCACCAAACACUAUCCAAUUGGCAUGGAUAGCCAGACGGUCACCAAUCCCAAUUUUUUCCGUAGUGAGUCUCAUUCUUUAUGAUUUAUCUUCACAAAAAUGCUACUGAAUUCAAAAGCUUGAAUCAUUUUUCCCCUGAGAAAUGGCAGCAAGUAGAGAAGAGGAGUCACAUCCAUGCCUUGUGUUUCAUGCCAUUUUUUUGCUCACCAAUUGUGCUGGGUUUUGUUGCUGAACAAAAUCUAAUGACGGCUCAUUGGGGCCUACGGCCGACCCAUGCUCAUGGGCUUUUUAUUUGUGGUCAUGUGUCCCUGCUUUCGAAGUCUUCCACUUACCACUGCUCUAAGGAUAGCCACUCCUUGCCAUUAAUUGGCAUAUAAUGACGUGAAGGUAUUUGACUAUGCUUCUACAAGAAUAAUAAAUAAUUAAACUAAAAAAGAAAAAAAAAAUUUAAAAGCCCUUGGAGGAUAUAAACAUGCCUCGAAAAGAGAUUUGGGCAUCAUUGGAGAUAAUUUAUAAUUUUUUACUUCAUCUAGAAGCUAGAAUUAUUGAAGUGGAGAUUUUUAAAUGAUAAUAUUCGUAUUAUAAAAGUUAAUUUUUUAUGGAGUUAAAUUCUUAAAAAAAAUUAAGAAAAAAGAAAAUAUAAUACAAUUAAAAUUACAUAUGCAUUUUUAUAUUUUUAAAUUAUUUAAUUUUUAUAUAAAAAGAGUUAAAAUAAGUGAAAUAAAUUUGAUAUUAUAUCAAAAUAAUUUAUUAAAUUUAAUUUUGUUUUAAUUUUUCUAUUUUUUUCUCUUUUCUUUCACUUUACCUCUAUAUUUUCUUUCUCUCAUAUUUUCCCCACAUUUUCAAGGAACCAAAUAUAACAAAUGAAAAUUUAAAUAUAAUACAAAAUUGGUUAAAAAGAUUGCAACAAACUCAAUGGAGGGGAAGGGGGAGGGGAUUUAAUGACAUAUUAAUUUUAACAUAAAAUUCUAAGGCCAUUCUUGAAAUAAUCGAGGAAAAAUGUAAGAUAAAGAAAAUAAAAAGAAAAAAUAGAAAUAAAUAAAAAAUGUUAAAAAAUAAAUAAAACGCUUAUUUACUUAUUUUUAUGAAGAUUAAAUAAUUUAAAAUUCAAAAAUUUAUAAGUUUCUAAUUAUGUUAUUUCAUGCCAUUCCAACCACUUUAUAUUUAUUGUUAUUGGUGAUACCAAAAAAUAGACACAUGCCACUAGGGUACUCCUAGAUGGAGGUAGCUCAUUUCAACCCCACACCAAGAAAGAAGACAUCCUCCAUGUACCACCCACUAAAGGGUGCCUCCCUAAGUUAUCACCUAAUUGAUGGUAUGGUCUUGCUAACAAAAUUGCAUUUCUUUAUUUAAAAUUAAGUCAAAAAGUUUGCAAACAUCGUCAUGACUGAUAAAAAAAAGUCCACACACUAUUACUAUAUAAAAGGCAAACAAGCCUAUUAUUAUAAUGGACAUGAUGAAAUGCAAUUCUUAUAAGAAAAAUCACUUCCGGUUAUGAUAAGGUAUUUAAAUACAAUAAAUAUUGCAUGUCUUGACCCACCGAUGUGGGAUUGGUUAAAGGUAUUUGUAUACUAAAGAUUAAAAGUUGUGCAAUGGGGGGAACUGAGCAGGGAUCUCCUGGUGUAAAAUUGAGUUCUCGAUUACUAAGCUAUACUACAAUUUUUGUUAAUAUUCAAUAAAAUAUAUAAAAAUAUGUUAUGGUUUCAAUUUUUAAUCCUCUACAAUCAUUAUUAUUAAAUGAUAAUUAUGAGAUACACAUAUAAAUAAAAUUAAAUAUUAUAAUUUUUAUUUCAUCUUAAAUAUUAAUAAAAUUUAAAAUAUUGAUACAAUUACAUUUAUCUUUAUGAUGUAAUUUGAUAUAUCAAAUAUAUAAAAAAUAAAAUAUUAUUAAAAUUUUUAAUUAAAUAUUUUUAAUUCCUUAUAAUUAUUUUUAAUUUUAUACCAUAUAUGAAUUAUAUAUUUACGAUAUCACUAGUUCGAUCAUUCAACUGUCAAUUAGUAAUUUAAUGAACAAGCCGAUUCUAACUCAUGAGAAGUAUAUUGAAUGUUUUUUUUCAAAAAAAAAAUUGAAAUUAAACUUUACCGUAUAAAAUAAAAUAAAAUUAGAAUUCUAAAUAAAAACUCCAUUUAAUUAAUUUUAUUAUUGUAAUUAAAAUUGUUCGUACUGAAUUCACAUUAAAUUGGUUGUAAUUGUUAAGCAAUAAGUCUGAAAUUUAGGAAACACAGCUUAAUAUAUAUAAAAUUUGCAUUACAUAUUUCCAAGUUACAACACGCUUGCAUAGUAUAUAAAGACACAAGACCUACUUCUUCUUGCCCUGGAUCAUGUUCUUAUUUUCUUAGAACAGUCAUCCACUGAUAAUUAUUCAUUAUAAUAUAGUAAUAGCUAGACUCAGGUUCAUGGUAGGUCUUCCGCCUAAAACCUACUGCCAAGUCACUGCAAUAGGACUUCUAACUGAAUACCUGCUGGACCCCCAAACAAGAGAUCCAAAAGAUGUACCUGAUGAACUUGAUUUCUGUCCCAAUUGAACAAAACUCACCGUGUAGCUCAAUUUCUGGCCGUUCUGUUUGAACUUUAAAACCUUAGGCUCAACGAUGACUGAUACUCCUUCAGGCUCAUGGGCCUGCACCACAUAAGUAGUAGUAGCGUACCCAACAUUUGUUACAGUUCUUUUGUAUGUGGCGCUGUUGUUGUGGGAAUUUCCAUCGAAAAGUACUGCAAAUGAAGGGUAGUUCAAGUCACCCGUUUGAAGAUCUGUGUCUGUGGGGCAACUGAAGUUCCCCCUUGAUAUUGUAGCCAUCUGAGAAGAUGAAUACUUGAGGCUACACAGAUAGUAGAGAUAGUCCUCAUAGCUGAUAUCAUAAACCAGCCCCGGAUUAGAGGCUCUCUCAGGAUCCACAUGGCCUGAACCAUAGGCAAAUGGGGUGGCUGUUGGGCUCUCCGAACCGGUAUCUGAGAUGGGAGCCUUCUUGUUGUCUAGAGUAUAAGCGGAUGUCAUUAGGGCUGACUUGAUGGCCGCAGGUGACCAGUCUUGGUGGGCUCCUUUGAUGAUUGCAGCUAAGCCACUAACGUGAGGACAAGAUAUGGAUGUUCCUGAAAUUACAUUAAAUAGUACACUUCUGUUGUCGCUUUUGGUCUUGCUUGGGCUGACUGUCGGCGGCCAGGCGGCCAGUAUGUUCACGCCCGGGGCUGUCACAUCGGGCUUGAUCACAUAAGGUUCUGUGUGUGCAGGGCCCCUUGAGGAGAAUGAUGCUAUUACAGGUGCCUGGUUGCCGAACGUUGUCCCAUUGAAAACAAUGGAAGCAGUGGGAUUCUCCGAACUGAUAUAGUUUCUUAUGGAUUUAGCUGCUGAGGCCCCCAGAGA